AGUGAGGGCGGGGAGAUUCCGCGCGCGUGCCCGCCAAAGGCGGAGGAAGGAAGGGGGGAAGGGCACACGCGGUAAGAAGACUAUAAGGUUUUGAGAAGCCCAGCCCAGGUAUUAAGUGCUAAACGAGAGCUCCAAAUACGGAGAAGGGAAGCCGGCGUCCCCGCUUCCCUCCCAGAGUUAGAGAAAAACUCCCGGCGGGGCCCGCCAUUCCCCACAAACCUGGGUGUCAUCUAGUCCCGCCGUGGCCUCGAUUUUUUUGUGUUGUUUUUGGCGGCUGGCGGAAACUGGGAUCGGAACCCUUGACCUUGGUGUUAUCAACACCAGGCUCUAACCAACUGAGCUAACCAGCCAGCCCCUGCCACGGUUUUUACUCUUCAAAUGGACAGCAGUGGUCCCAACACCCUCUAGCUAGAGGCCCACCGCGCCUACCCGCCUCGCUUUUUCCUGUUUUCCCGAAGGGGACAGGGCGCCCCGCGGCCCACUCACCAUGGUCGCUAUUGGCUAAGAUGCGAAGGCGACAGGAGCAGACACCGGGUCCCGGUUACCGUCCCCGACAAGCUAAGAGUCGAGAAAUAGAAAACGGGUAAUUUCUCCUAGUUCUCUCCUUACUUGAUCACAGGAUCCUGAUUUUGUUGGGAGCAGGUUGCCCAGCUUCUGUUCCAACUACACUACUGGUGUCCAUGUGACUAAAUUCUGAAUGUUGACAGGAUGGCUGGAAUUCUAGCAAACAUCUUAGGAAAAUAAAGUGACCUAAAGCUAAGGACGGAAGAAGAUAGAGUCUAGGCUCCUGAUGACAUCAUGGAACUGCCAUACAAGCCCGGGAUUGCCUGCUUUUUUUGGACUUCACAUUAUGGGAGAAAAUAAAAUAAUUUAAGCCACACUUACCUUUUUUCCUUUUUUCGUGUGUGUGUGUGUGCGUGCGCGCGUGCACGCACGCACACACACAUAUU